rnacentral:rRNA from 1 species
UACAGAGGUCUCAAGCGUUGUUCGGAUUCAUUGGCGUAAAGGGUGCGUAGGUGCGGGUAAGUCAGGUGUGAAAUCUCGAGGCUCAACCUCGAAACUGCACUUGAUACUGCCUUGCUGGAGUACUGAGAGGAGAUUGGAAUUUACGGUGUAGCAGUGAAAUGCGUAGAUAUCGUAAGGAAGACCAGUGGCGAAGGCGAAUCUCUGGACAGUUACUGACACUGAGGCACGAAGGCCAGGGAGCAAACGGG